rnacentral:rRNA from 1 species
CCUGUUUAUUAAAAACAUGGUUUUUAAUAAAUUAAUUAAAAAUUAAACCUGCCAAUUGAAUAAUUUUAAAAGGCCGCAGUAUUUUGACUGUGCUAAGGUAGCAUAAUCMUUAGAUUUAUAAUUGAAAUCUAGAAUGAAUGGUUUUAUGAAAUAAAUUCUUUUUUAAUUUAAAUAAUUGAAUUUUUUUUUUUAGUUAAAAAACUAAAAUAUUUUUAUGGGACGAGAAGACCCUAUAGAAUUUUAUAUUAAUAAAUUUUAAAUUAAUUUAAAAUUUAAUUUUAUAAUUUAAAAAUAUUUUAUUGGGGUGAUAAUUAAAUUUAAUUAACUUUUAAUAAAUUUUCAUUAAUUUUUGUUUUAAUGAUCUUUUUAUAUUGAUUAAAAAUAUAAAUUACCUUAGGGAUAACAGCAUAAUUUUAUUAAAAAGUUCUUAUUUUUAAUAUUGUUUAUGACCUCGAUGUUGAAUUAAAUAAAAUUAUUAUAUGAAGAUAUAUAAUAAAUAAGUCUGUUCGACUUUUAAUUAUUUAC